AAGAGGGGGAUCUUGGAUUUCAUGAGCAUAUUCAGUUUUUUCUGCCGACCACGACAGCAUGGAGAAGCAGUUGGAGUUCUCAGAGAUCAGUGAUGCGCUUCCCGCUGAUGAAAUCAAUCAUUUUGGUGACCGCCACGUCCAGUGCUGCUGUCACGGAGAUCAGGUUCUGCAGAAACUCUUCCGCUGUUGGCUUCUCCCCAUCCACGAUAUCAGUCACGGCUUUCACAAAGAUUGCUGGAGUUGAGAAUAUGUCUGCGACGUACGCCACUGCUGCUCCCUGUAAAGGUGAGCAACGCAAAAUUAAACCACUUUCAGACACUAAAAUUUGGAAUACACUGUUACCAAGUGAAGACGAAGCAGGCAAAGUAGAUAACAAGCAACAUAGGAGCCUGCUGCACUGCAUACAGAACACCAGUGCGCUUGACGCAAUUGUUCUAUGCUGAUUACUAAACUUUACUGUGUAUUAUUUGAGAAGAUGUCAGCAGCAACUAAACCCAUUUUGGCCAUGGCUGCCUACUUCGACCAGAUAGCUACGGCAGGUGUAAGGUUUGUAGAAAUGGUCCCAGAAUAAAUGAAGGAUGCUUUUCAACAAAUGAAGCUAGGUUUGCAUGACAACAAUUUUCUGGCUGUAUGCCUGUAUUCGUUCAUAUGCUGAUUGCUUGAGAAGAAUGCAUACCUCCAUAUCCUUGACUGUAGCAUCAUUCUUCAGUAUCAUCUCCUCAUCCUGGGGAGACAUAUCAAGAGAAUCACCAGUCGACAACUUGCCAAGCUGAAACAAAGGCAGGAUUCAGUAAGACAAGUACUAUUAUUGUUGUCCAUAAGAUCGCUACAAGCUUGCAAGCUCCCCAAUGGAACGACAAAUUUAUCGCAGAAAUGAAAUAGCAAGACGCAUACGUCUCUAAGCACAACGUGAAAGAAAAUAACUCAGCAAUUUGGCAACAGAAGAUAGCUGUAGCUCACCUUGAAAUUGAGUUCCUUCAAGAUAUUAGGGGCUGCAAAAGUUUUCCGUGCUCCAACUCCAUACAUGUCAAAAACCUAUGCAUACACAACAAUACGUCCAAAUUAGUAUUGCUGGAAUUUGAAGAAUCUGACAAAAGAACAAUAAUAGCUGAAGAAGAGAUCACAUCAAAAUUAAAAGAUGAAUAUAUAGGUAUAGCCAAAAUCAUGAGCAAAUGGUAUACAUGAAAUAUGUAAAAGCAAUUAAUCAUGAUGGCGCAACAGGGCAAGGAACCCCGAUACCUUAUUGGGGCAAAGAAGAUUCGCUCAAGAAUAUUUGUUAGAUCCAACUAGCCAUAUUGCUUGGCACAAAAAUGACUCACUCAUCUCUAAGAAUAAAAUGGAUGUAACCCAAGCUCAAAACAUAUAUUAGAAAUGUGAAACGGUACUCACAGGUAUCGGUAUCCUCCUGUCAUGGAAUGCCACAUCUGAAGCUAGGAAGACAUCUCCAACACUUGCUCCUUUG
rnacentral:lncRNA from 1 species